AGGAAGCAGGGGGAUGGAGAGGGAGCCUCUCCAGGCUCCGCAGGGAACAGUGAUGGCCUUGAAGCAGAAACAGGGUGGUUUAGAUGCAACUUUACAGAGCUCCACAGAAAUGGUGUAAAAGCAGCGUCCCUCUUUGGUUCAGCCUAGAUCCAGUUUUAAAAGCACCUUCCCUGUGGCAUCAACCUGUGUACAAAGCUACAUGACUGACUGCAGCAGAGCCCAUGCCCUCCUACCCUGCCAACAAAAGAUCCAGCGAGUGAGUGAGGAACUCGGAGACAUGAGAAAUGGGAGAAGCCCUUGCCUUCCAGGUGUUUGGAGGUCAAUAUCAUAGAUCUAGGGCAAAUGUGCUGGUCCAUGUUGUGUCUCUAAGUUCCAUGGUGAUUGGAUGGUAAUUAUAUGGAUGGAUUGAUCCACAACCCUGACAGUCAGGGGAAAAUGGAGAAAAUAUCAGCUUGACAGAAUCCAGGAUUCACCUGGGAAAUGGGCAUGACUUUGGCGGAUGAUCUUGAUUGCCUCAGUGGAAGUGGGAGGUCCUGCCCACUGUGGGCAGCAUCAUUCCCCAGGCAAGAGAAAGGGAGUUGAUCACCAGCAUGUACACAUUCCUUAUCUCUGUCACAGUGGAUGAAUGUGACCCCUGCCCUCAGGCUCUCGAGGUUUUGAAAUCCCUGCUGUGACCCCCUUCUUUCUUAAGGUGCUUUUGCCAGUUCAUUUUAUAGCAAGAGGAAAAGAAACUAUCACAUGGGGGAAGAAGAGCAGCAAGAGAGAAGCUAGAACUUUCUUGGCCGAAAAUGAUAAUGAAUUAAGUAAAAACCAAAGAAUUAAAAGGCCAGGUCUUCAAAGGGAUUGAGCUUCAGAAGACUCCUUGUGUUGCAUUCACCACAGGGUGUGGGUUAGACUGGGAAGCGGAACUGAGCAGCUAGUUAGCUUUCUCCACUUCAUGGGUUUCCUCCUGCAAGCUCCU